rnacentral:lncRNA from 7 species
GGGUUGGCCAUACAUGCGAGAAACGCGGCCUGGGAAUCAGGAGAUACGUAUGGAGCAGGCCACUCACAUCCAGCCAUCCAGGAUUGGAGGGGCACAAGUUUGGACAAGCCUCUCUGAAGGGUACUAGUAGUACAGGACAAAGCGCAAGAUCUUUUUGUCAGCUAUGGUGCUUGCAUUGCAUAUAAAGGCUGUGGCGAGAUGGAGUCCAUUAUAUUUUAAGACAACAACAAGGCAGGCGGCCGCGUUGCAUCCGAACAAGAGGCAAACACCGAUCACUCGAAAGGAUCA